UAUUUAAACUUUAAUAUGAUUCUGAAGAAUGAAAGAUGACAAUAUUUUAUAAAAUUUACAUGGAUACAUAAUUAGACAGGAUAUACAGGUAGGAAAAGGAACAUUAAGAGAUAUAAGAUCAUUCAGGAAUGAGGAGCGGUCGUAUAGAGAACAUGAAAAGAAAAUGUGAUCUAGAUCACAUUUAUCGGAUUCACAUUCACACAUGUCAGUAGAUACAAUGCCUAAUCUAUUAAGAUGAACAGGAGUGCAAACAUGACCCAAACGCAUUCUUAUGAUAGAAGAACAUACUAACUUAUUGCAUUUGGCACGGAAAAACCAUGGUUUAAAUAUUUCCUGCCUUUUGAUUGACCAGUUUCAGUCCAAAGCCUAUUCCAACAAUCCUGAAGGUGAACUAUAGGAAGAGCACCUAGAUCCUGGCAAAAAACUUUAUAAGGGAAAAUGUCGCCAUCGACCACGGCUUCAUUAGCUAGUUGGUCUGCUUUUAUAUUACCAGGAAUGUCGCUAUGGCUGGGGAUCCAUACAAACAACACAGAAAGACCAAAGUGAUUGCAUUUAUUUAAUAGAUUUCUUAAUUCUAUGACAACAGAAGAAAUGUUUUUUGAUUUAAAUGGGAACCUAUUGAGAGACUGUAAGGCACUUUUUGAAUCAGAGAAAAUUAUUGUUUUUGGAAGUUUAAAUUGAAUAAUAUAUUCAAUAGUCUUAAAAAUACCAUAACAUUCCCCAGUAAACACCGAUGUUUCCGGAGGUAGUUUAAUUUUCUGUGAUAUUUUAAAUUGAGCGUGAUAGACACCUACACCAACGGGAUCCGAGGAGGAAUGUUUAGACGCGUCUGUGUAAAUAUGAUGGUAAUCAACCCAAACAGUAUUUUAAAGAAGAUUAAACGAAAAAUUUGUACUAAUAUCGUGCUUAUUUAAAUCUGAGUUAAAAUUAAUUUCUGGAAGCAACAUUAAUGCUUCAAAGCUAGUACUGAAAAGAGGAUAAUUAAUGGAUCGAUGAAUAGGAGCUUUUAUGUUGAUAAAUUUCUUAAAACUAUUGAUUAGACAAGGUGGUUUUUUAUUUGACCAAUAUGCAGAUGAAUCUAUAUGAGAAAGUUUCUGAAGUUUGUUAUAAAGAGAGUGGUUAUGAAACUGAAAAGAUCGGAAUAUAAAUUUGUCUGCUAAAUAUUAACGACGUAGAUGUAGUGGAGGAUCACCACAUUCUACUUGAAGAGCAUUGAUAGGACUUGACCGCAUAGCACCAGAAACUACUCGUAAAGCUUUGGACUGUAUGAGAUCUAGUUUUUUAAAUGCCUUAACACUACCAGGCUCCAGCAAGAAUGUACCAUAAUCUAAUAUACUUCUUAUAAGAGCAUUAUAUAACAAUUUCAUGCAAAAAGGGUGCGCACCCCACCAAACACCUGACAGACAUCUUAAAAUAUUAAGAGUACGCUCACAUUUAGCAUUUAGGUAAUCACAAUGUGGGAUACCAGUUAGUUUCGAAUCUAAGACAAUUCCCAAAUACUUAACAUUAUCUUUAACUGGAAUCUGAUAACCCUCAUAAAAUAUAGAAAUAGGAGGAGGAGUUCUUGAUCUCGUGAAUAAAACUAUUGUACUUUUUUCAGGUGAUAGAUCAAGGCCAUUUAAGUCCAACCAAGUUUUUAAAUUUAUCAGCGGUUGUGUUAUAGAAGAACUAGCUUUUUCAAUAGAAAUAUCACGACAGUAAAUUAAUAGAUCAUCAGCAUAAUGAAGAACAUUUACACUAUUAAGUGAUGAUUUUAAAUCGUGUGUAUAAAUAUUAUACAAUAUUGGGCUAAGUACUGAUCCCUGGGGGAGGCCCUUUGAAACAAGUCGAGUAAUUGACUUCCUGUCAUCUAGUUUCAGGAUUAUGUAUCUUUCGGAAAGCAUGUUUAUGAUAAAAUUUGUUAAUAGCAGAGGUAUAUUAAGUUGUAAAAGCUUACUCUUUAAAAUACUUAUUACGACAUUAUCAUAGGCACAAUUUAUAUCUAAGAACGCAGCUAUUACUGAUUUAUUAUUUGAAAAUGAUAAUUGAAUAUCAGAAAUGAAUAUACUUAAGCUAUCAAUAGUACUUUUCCCACGUCUGAAACCGAAUUGGGAUUCACAUAAUAGACCGUUAUGCUCAACAAACCAUUCUAAACGAUUUUUUAUAAGAUGUUCUGUAAUUUUCAUCAAAACAGAAGAAAGUGCGAUUGGGCGAUAGGCAGAAUGGUCUGCAGAACACCUAUUAGGUUUCAGUACGGGAAUUAUUUCUUGACGUUUCCACGUGGAGGGGAUGUUACCAGAUGUCACUAUGGAAUUUAUAAGAGAUAAAUAAUAAAAUAAAGCAUCAUCAUCUAAAUGAGAGAUAAAGGAAUACGGAAUACCGUCCAGUCCAGGAGCAGAAUCCUUAACAUGAGACAAUACUUUUAAUUUAGUUCAGUGAGAGAAAAUAUACUGUUUAAACCAAAACAGUUAUCAUUAUUUAUAUUUAUUACAGGGAAACCAAUUAUUAAGUCUUCAGGAACGAAAGGUGGAGCCAAUUUAUCUAAAAAGCUAUUAACUAAAUGAAAAGAGAUUGAUUUUGGAGAUGAAUCUUUGUAUGCAGAUCUAAACCUUCUUAUAUUUUGCCAUACAAGAGAUGGUUUGACAUCAGCAUAUUUUCUUCUCUUUACUGCCUCAGUACAUUCGUUAUCCCACCAAGGAGGAGAAGGAAUAAAACCCAAAGAGCUAUUUUUACUUGGAAAUAUCUCAUUGGCAACCUCAAUAAAGAUUCUUGCUAAAGAAUCUGCACACUGAGAUUCUGUACCUGGAUUAAUUUUUGGAAGUGUAAUAAUUUUGUUUUUUAUUAGAUCUUUAUAUAAAUCCCAAUCAACAUCAUUAAGCUUAUAUUUUAAACGAGGAGAAUAAGUUUUAUGUAAUACUUUAUUGUUAUUAUUGCAGGUUGGAAAUGAUAAUAAUAGUGGGAAGUGAUCACUACCAAAAGUAGAUCGUAAUGGAUCCCAGGACAAAGAAGAAGCAAGAUUAGGUGUAGUGACUGUUAAAUCUGGAGCACUUGGGCCCUCGUCAGGAUGAGAACGUCGUGUAGGACGACCAUCAUUUAAUAUACACAAAUUCACUGAAUCAGAUAUAUCUAUUAAUGUGUUACCAUAACUAUUAGAAGAUAAGUAACCCCAGGAUUCAUGGCGACAGUUAAAAUCACCAAGGAUCAUAAAAGGCUUCGGAAGAAUGGAAAUAAUAUCUUUGAUUUCAUUUAAGAUUGCAGAAGAAGGAUGAGGUAUAUAAAUAGAUACAUAACAGAUAUUUUCAACUAAAGCAGCAAUAAUAGAAAAAUCAUUACUGUGAGAAGGAAUAGAGAAGAGAGAAAAGGAAAGUGGGUGUUUCACAAGCAUGGCUACUCCGCCAUGCCCAUCCACACGAUCUUCUCUGAGACAUGAAUAACCUCGAAUCUUAAAUAAAGAUCCUGGUUUCAACCAUGUCUCUUGAAGAGCACAGAUAUAAGGUUUAUAUUUAUUUAAUAAAUAAAUAAGAUCACUUUUUUUAGGAGUGAUGCUUUGACAAUUCCAUUGAAGAACUUUGUCCAUUAUUUGGUUUAUAAAUUUGAGUAAUUGCAGAAACUAAUAAGGCAGCGUUGGAUGGUGAAAAUUCAUUCGAUUGACUAAGAGAUUUUAUAAGAGAAAUAAUUAAAUCAAUUACUGAGGAUUCCAAA